rnacentral:lncRNA from 1 species
CAGCAAGGACCAGAGACUGCAUUCCCCUGACAGUUUUUUUUUUAAAUUUUUUGCAGAACUGACCAUGCUGUUAGCCUAGAGAAAGAAAGUUAUGCUGUUGAGCCAUAUGCUUUCCUGUUAUGUUCUGCAGAGAAUAAAGCUGUGAUUAGCUAUUGCCACUUCAGUUUUAGCAGAUUGACACCUCUCAAAUGCCAAGAUAUGCCCAAAUAAGCCCACAACAAAUGCUUGUGAAUGGACAGGCAACUGCAUAGCAGUCAUGAGCACCCUGAUGGACCAGCUGCCUGAAGGGGACAGGUUGGAUCCUCUGCAACCUGAUUUUAUCCAUUCAGGACAGCAGUGCAGGGAAAAAAACACAGCCAGGAGGGGCAUCAUCUCCUGCUUCUCCUCCUGUCUCCACCCCAUCUAACAGCUCAGCAGCAGAAAGGAUAGGCUUGUCUCCAAAGAGAAUAAUGGUAUGUUAAUGAGAGCCCUGCUCCCUGAAACUGCUGGUUCCUGUACUUUGGCUCUGGCUGUGGUGUUGGAGAACAUGGAAUACCAUAUUUUACUGUGCAGGCUGCACAGAUUCCCCUGCUGCGCCAAUCCCCGCGUGUGAACCUCAGCCAUCACCAUCUCGUGCCUUCAAGGUACUGCAUGCUUGUAGGGCUGAAGUCAGAGCUGAGGAGCCUGUCCUGCUUUCCACAAGCCUGUGAAUUUCACUAAUGCCACCAAGGGUUUUAUGUCUGCCAGUACCAGACCCCCCCAGUUUAUUCUGCCCUUGUUCCCUGCUUUUGUAACCCAGAUAUUUGCAUAAAACAGAGCAGCAAUGCCAAGUGCUGGUGCCUUCAU